rnacentral:rRNA from 1 species
GACAGAGGGGGCAAGCGUUGUUCGGAAUCACUGGGCGUAAAGGGCGCGUAGGCGGGAUGGCAAGUCGGUCGUGAAAUCCUUCGGCUCAACCGAAGAACGUCGGCCGAUACUGCCGUUCUUGAGGGAUGCAGAGGAGAUUGGAAUUCCCGGUGUAGCGGUGAAAUGUGUAGAGAUCGGGAGGAACACCGGUGGCGAAGGCGGGUCUCUGGGCAUCUCCUGACGCUGAGGCGCGAAAGCGUGGGGAGCAAACGGG